rnacentral:sRNA from 1 species
UACAUUAAGUUUGCUCACUCAAGGGAGUCUUGCUCAUCCCCUAUGAAAGGGGGUGGGGAAAUGACUGUUUACGAAUCAUUAAUGAUAAUGAUCAAUUUUGGCGGGUUGAUAUUAAAUACCGUCUUGUUGAUCUUCAAUAUAAUGAUGAUUGUAACGUCAAACCAAAAGAAAAAAUAGACCUCCCUUGAGCCCUGAACAAGUUUAAGGGAAUGGUCUAUCUCAGUUAAUACCAAUGAGCAAGCCCUUUGAUGGGCAGCUUUUUGUACAAACAAUGACCAGUG